AUUGAACGCUGGCGGCAGGCCUAACACAUGCAAGUCGAGCGGAUGAAGGGAGCUUGCUCCUGGAUUCAGUGGCGGACGGGUGAGUAAUGCCUAGGAAUCUGCCUGGUAGUGGGGGAUAACGUCCGUAAACGGGCGCUAAUACCGCAUACGUCCUGAUGGAGAAAGUGGGGGUUCUUUGGACCUCACGCUAUCAGAUGAGCCUAGGUCGGAUUAGCUAGUUGGUUGGGUAAAGGCCGACCAAGGCGACGAUCCGUAACUGGUCUGAGAGGAUGAUCAGUCACACUGGAACUGAGACACGGUCCAGACUCCUACGGGAGGCAGCAGUGGGGAAUCUUGGACAAUGGGCGAAAGCCUGAUCCAGCCAUGCCGCGUGUGUGAAGAAGGUCUUCGGAUUGUAAAGCACUUUUAGUUGGGAGGAAGGGCAGUAUAUUAAUACCUUGCUGUUUUGACGGUACCAACAGAAUAAGCACCGGCUAACUUCGUG
rnacentral:rRNA from 1 species